AACUUGGUGUGUACUGAUGUUAUGUUGUGGAGACUUAUAUCAGAUAGCUCUCGUAACGAUGUGAACUCAUAUGCUCCUAGCAUGGUAUUUCUGCUCCUCA